CAGACAUGCUCCGUGCGUUCAGCCGAAAGGUGUACUCGUACGGUUGCAGGCUAGAGUCUGUUCUUGGGGUCGGAUAAGGGUCUUGGGAAUGUGGCCGGUUCGCCGGUGUUAAGCCCUGGACUUGAUACGGCUCCGGGGACAGAGGACCGCAGCGCGCCUUCUUGGCAUUGGCUUCGGCCUUUUCCGCGCUAAGGAUUCUGGCUUAAUGGCUUUAAGCGACCGUCUUAGAAACACGGACCAAGGGAGUCUAACAUGUGUGCGAGUGUU
rnacentral:rRNA from 1 species